rnacentral:rRNA from 1 species
GGCAGCAGCUAAGAAUAUUCCGCAAUGGGGGAAACCCUGACGGAGCGACGCCGCGUGGAUGAUGAAGGCCGGAAGGUUGUAAAAUCCUGUUAUACGUGAGGAAUAAGUGGAGUGAGAGAAACGCUUCAUGGUGACUGUAGCGUAUGAAUAAGCAACGGCUAAUUACGUGCCAGCAGCCGCGGUAACACGUAAGUUGCGAGCGUUGUUCGGAAUUAUUGGGCGUAAAGGGCAUGUAGGCGGUAAUGCAAGUCUGGUGUGAAAGGCGGGAGCUCAACUCCCGGACUGCGUUGGAAACUGCAUUACUUGAGUGACUGAGGGGCAAUCAGAAUUCCUGGUGUAGGGGUGAAAUCUGUAGAUAUCAGGAAGAAUACCAAUGGCGAAGGCAGGUUGCCAGCAGAUGACUGACGCUGAGGUGCGAAGGUGCGGGGAGCAAACAGGAUUAGAUACCCUGGUAGUCCGCACAGUCAACUAUGUACACUGGAUGUCUGGUCAGAAGACUGGGUGUCGAAGCAAACGCGAUAAGUGUACCGCCUGGGGAGUAUGCCCGCAAGGGUGAAACUCAAAGGAAUUGACGG